rnacentral:misc_RNA from 1 species
AUGCGAUACGUAGUGUGAAUUGCAGAAUUCAGUGAAUCAUCGAAUCUUUGAACGCACAUUGCGCCCUUUGGUAUUCCAAAGGGCAUGCCUGUUCGAGCGUCAUUUGUACCCUCAAGCUUUGCUUGGUGUUGGGCGUCUUUGUCUCUCACGAGACUCGCCUUAAAAUGAUUGGCAGCCGACCUACUGGUUUCGGAGCGCAGCACAAUUCUUGCACUUUGAAUCAGCCUUGGUUGAGCAUCCAUCAAGACCACAUUUUUAACUUUUGACCUCGGAUCAGGUAGGGAUACCCGCUGAACUUAA